rnacentral:rRNA from 1 species
UACGGAGGGUGCGAGCGUUGUCCGGAAUCACUGGGCGUAAAGGGCGCGUAGGUGGUGAGUUAAGUCUGUCGUGAAAGCCCCGGGCUCAACCUGGGAAUGGCGAUGGAUACUGGCUCGCUAGAGUGCGGUAGAGGAGAGUGGAAUUCCCGGUGUAGCAGUGAAAUGCGCAGAUAUCAGGAGGAACACCAAUGGCGAAGGCAGCACUCUGGGACGUGACUGACGCUGAGACGCGAAAGCGUGGGGAGCAAACAGG